rnacentral:rRNA from 1 species
AGACCCGAAACCCGGUGAUCUAGCCAUGGGCAGGUUGAAGGUUGGGUAACACUAACUGGAGGACCGAACCGACUAAUGUUGAAAAAUUAGCGGAUGACCUGUGGCUGGGGGUGAAAGGCCAAUCAAACCGGGAGAUAGCUGGUUCUCCCCGAAAGCUAUUUAGGUAGCGCCUCGUGAAUUCAUCUCCGGGGGUAGAGCACUGUUUCGGCUAGGGGGCCAUCCCGGCUUACCAACCCGAUGCAAACUGCGAAUACCGGAGAAUGUUAUCACGGGAGACACACGGCGGGUGCUAACGUCCGUCGUGAAGAGGGAAACAACCCAGACCGCCAGCUAAGGUCCCAAAGUCAUGGUUAAGUGGGAAACGAUGUGGGAAGGCCCAGACAGCCAGGAUGUUGGCUUAGAAGCAGCCAUCAUUUAAAGAAAGCGUAAUAGCUCACUGGUCGAGUCGGCCUGCGCGGAAGAUGUAACGGGGCUAAACCAUGCACCGAAGCUGCGGCAGCGACACUGUGUGUUGUUGGGUAGGGGAGCGUUCUGUAAGCCUGUGAAGGUGUGUCGUGAGGCAUGCUGGAGGUAUCAGAAGUGCGAAUGCUGACAUAAGUAACGAUAAAGCGGGUGAAAAGCCCGCUCGCCGGAAGACCAAGGGUUCCUGUCCAACGUUAAUCGGGGCAGGGUGAGUCGACCCCUAAGGCGAGGCCGAAAGGCGUAGUCGAUGGGAAACGGGUUAAUAUUCCCGUACUUGGUGUUACUGCGAAGGGGGGACGGAGAAGGCUAUGUUGGCCGGGCGACGGUUGUCCCGGUUUAAGCGUGUAGGUGUGUGUUCCAGGUAAAUCCGGUUCACUUUAACACUGAGGCGUGACGACGAGGCACUACGGUGCUGAAGCAACAAAUGCCCUGCUUCCAGGAAAAGCCUCUAAGCAUCAGGUAACAUCAAAUCGUACCCCAAACCGACACAGGUGGUCAGGUAGAGAAUACCAAGGCGCUUGAGAGAACUCGGGUGAAGGAACUAGGCAAAAUGGUGCCGUAACUUCGGGAGAAGGCACGCUGACACGUAGGUGAAGUGAUUUACUCAUGGAGCUGAAGUCAGUCGAAGAUACCAGCUGGCUGCAACUGUUUAUUAAAAACACAGCACUGUGCAAACACGAAAGUGGACGUAUACGGUGUGACGCCUGCCCGGUGCCGGAAGGUUAAUUGAUGGGGUCAGCGCAAGCGAAGCUCCUGAUCGAAGCCCCGGUAAACGGCGGCCGUAACUAUAACGGUCCUAAGGUAGCGAAAUUCCUUGUCGGGUAAGUUCCGACCUGCACGAAUGGCGUAAUGAUGGCCAGGCUGUCUCCACCCGAGACUCAGUGAAAUUGAACUCGCUGUGAAGAUGCAGUGUACCCGCGGCAAGACGGAAAGACCCCGUGAACCUUUACUAUAGCUUGACACUGAACAUUGAGCCUUGAUGUGUAGGAUAGGUGGGAGGCUUUGAAGUGUGGACGCCAGUCUGCAUGGAGCCGACCUUGAAAUACCACCCUUUAAUGUUUGAUGUUCUAACGUGGACCCGUUACCCGGGUUGCGGACAGUGUCUGGUGGGUAGUUUGACUGGGGCGGUCUCCUCCUAAAGAGUAACGGAGGAGCACGAAGGUUGGCUAAUCCUGGUCGGACAUCAGGAGGUUAGUGCAAUGGCAUAAGCCAGCUUGACUGCGAGCGUGACGGCGCGAGCAGGUGCGAAAGCAGGUCAUAGUGAUCCGGUGGUUCUGAAUGGAAGGGCCAUCGCUCAACGGAUAAAAGGUACUCCGGGGAUAACAGGCUGAUACCGCCCAAGAGUUCAUAUCGACGGCGGUGUUUGGCACCUCGAUGUCGGCUCAUCACAUCCUGGGGCUGAAGUAGGUCCCAAGGGUAUGGCUGUUCGCCAUUUAAAGUGGUACGCGAGCUGGGUUUAGAACGUCGUGAGACAGUUCGGUCCCUAUCUGCCGUGGGCGCUGGAGAACUGAGGGGGGCUGCUCCUAGUACGA